UCAUGGGCUUUGGUGGGUGGUCUGAUAGCUUAAAGUUUAAAGCUCUUUUGUGAAUCAGAUAACCUCCUGUACAGGAGCAGAAGCAGUCUGAGCUGCCUUGGCUGGUGUGCAGAGGGUCUUCUGCUAGUUGAGAGUCUCUGAUAUUGUAUAACCUGCCUAGGAAGUGUGACUGGUUGUUCCUCAGCUUUGCACCUUAAGUGCUGUAAAGAAGGCAGAAAGCAGAAGUAAGUAGGUCCCUCAGAAUUUCCUUGUUGAACCAGGGAGGAGAGUUGUGGUUGUACUGAGGCAAUGGCAAAGGUCUUUGACAUAUAUCUUGUUAGGCAUUGGCACAGGGCUUUUCCCUGGGGGAAAAGGAGCUCAUGGUGUGAAUAUGAUCCUGUGAGGGUAAAGACACUCGUGGUUUAUUCUUGGCAAGGACUGUAGCUGCUUGAAAGUCGUCCUUAUGACAGCACUAAUCUUCUGGCAACUGCAGGGUCGGGGAGUUGCAGGAGAAGUGCAGAAGUGCCUUAGCACGUUACCUUCUUUGAUGGGCCAAGUGUCCCUCCUCACAGAGAUCUAGUCUGUUCCUCCAAGGAAGCACAGAGUGCUCUCCAGCAAGCCCACUGCUGCCUUCGGAGGGUAUUUCCAUGUUGCUGUGUCCUGACUGUUGCACCAUGCCCUUUCUCUGUGAUGCCUUGCACACGACCAGCUGGUAUUUGUCAUGUGCUCCACAGAAUUCAAAAAUGAAACUUCUUUGGAGGAGGUCAGCGUACUGUGCAGGACACAUCCCGUGUGUGGGCUGCAUCUGACAGAUUCCUGUCACUGCCACCCAACAGGCCUGUCAAAAACGACAGCACCUGCCCAUGGACUGCACUAACACAGUGAUACCAGCCAAAAUGGGAAGUGUUAACAGCGUUGUUUGCCCCUGUGUGUUCCUGUUUGUAGCCCCUCUGCACUAGGAGAGGCACAGUGUAAAUGUCUGGGUGGAUGGCUACGUGUUUUAGAGUAAUCAUACCAGGCACCAUUCAGUUCUCAGCAGUCAAUGUGCAAUUAUUGCAAUAGAAAAGCAGCACAGAACAUUGCUUAAGAGUUUUUCAGUUAUCAGAGAUUUUCCUACCCACAGGAAAGUAAGGAGGUAACCUGUCUAAAAGUUUUGUCAUUCCAGAAUCAGUGCCAAGGAUCAGAUCUUCCUGAUCCAUGGCUGGGAAGCUGUGUUCUCACACUUGGGCUAUGCCUACAUGCUGGAGAUUUUUCUGUUACAUUUCUCUUUUGUGAUGGAUGAAAUCCCAUUUUUAUAUCGUUAUAUAAGGUCAUUUGACUCUUCCUGCCCGACGCUGCAGCCCUUGUGCAUUUCACCUGUGUCAUUAGCACUCCAUAGCCAAAUGCUGUUUUGUGCCCAGCAGGGAUUCUCAAAAUAGCCAUUGCUUCACUCUCUCUCUAAGCUUGUCUGCAUUCCAAGCCACUUAAUUUUCCAUGUGGUCCACUCCCAACUUCCCAUUGUAAAUUACUGCCCUCGUAACCCACAGUCUAAUUUUUCUCACUCCAUUCAGUGGAACUACUGACCGGUGGUAGUAGCAGGUUAGGCUGGUGUUGUACCUGUGAGAAUUUCCUGGUUGCCUGAUUUGUACUUAUUUUGUAAGGUUUGUAAGGCUUUUUGGUUCCCUGCUGCCCUGAUUUCAAAUAUGUGACCUUGAAAUUGGUUGUUUGAGCGUGUCUUUUCAUUUGGAGUCCCCAGAGGAUUGUAAUUACAGCACUGCCUUGUGACUGUGCUGAAUGAGAGCCCAGCUGAAAUUCCCAGACUAAAGGAUACGACAGCUUCUAGUAAUCUUGGUGCCUUUCUUAUGCCUUUUUUUUUUUUCCUAAAUAAUACAUUUUUACAAUGUGUAGGGUCAGUCAUUUUGAAAAAAAAAAGGUUAUUUCUUAAUGGCCAGUCUUCGCGAGCGAAGAUCCGGGGAAGGUCUUUCCACCUUCCAGCCUGCGCAUUGGAUUUUUUAGGUGAGACACAGUGUGCGCAGAACUGAGCCCACCCUUUAAUCCUAAGGUUCAUCUGCCGGGGCCAAGCGAGCUUGGACGGUGGCAGUGAGGUCCUCAGGACGUAGGUGGGUUGCCUUUAAGGGCUAAUGAGCCCCACCUGCCCGGGAGUGGCCCUGACCGGGAAUCGAACCCGGGUCUCCGCGGUGAUAGCGCCGCGCCUUUACCACUAGACCACCAGGGGGGUUAUUUCUUAGUUACCUAUUAAAAUGUAAGAGAGUGUCCGCUUCCCCCUUAUGUGCACACCUUCUGCUUCCAUAUGAUUUGCUGUUGUAAAUUGAUCAUCUCUUUCCAUUGUUAUGGGAAAACAUUUCAUAGAUACUGUUUUAUAGACAAAGGAAGGGAAAAUCUAGCAACUUGUACUCUGCCUGUAGAAACUCUGAGUCUAAAUAUGGGAAAAUUAGCAAAUAUGAAGUGCAGGCCAACAGUGAGGAGAAGGAAAUGGAGUUACAGAUACUAAAGACAGGAUGAGAUUGUUCAAAGAGGUAAGAAGAAGGACGGAGAGUCCUUGGCAAGAGAGACCCGUUGGUAUGGGUCAGCUUUAUUUCCACUGAAUUUGAGUGUUAUCCCAAAUUUAUGGAGAUAUGACAUCCAAAGCCUUCCCAGAGGGCAGCAUGGGAUAAGGCUUAGAGCACAGGGAAGAAAAGGAGACACACAAGGAUAAAAGGAAUAGGAAAAGUCAAGCGAGUGAGUGAGUAGGGAGAAAGGAAAGCAGAGGGGUUGGGAGCAGCCUGGGAUAGUACUGUAUAAAUGAAAACUGGGGUCUUGAGCAAAGUCAAAGGGAGUUUUCCCCAAAAAUAACAAUAUUUGCAAGCCCAGAACAAGGACUUGUAUUUGACCUGAAGGUAGAGAGAAUGACAGCAUUUCUGCUGUGGGUUAGGUCUGCAUUUGGAAUUUCAAGCAUCGUUUUGCUUGUGGAGUCCUCAGUCUUGCACAGUCGCGUUUGUAGUGAGAGUGAGUUCCCAUCCUUGGCAGCAACACCAGUCGUGCACCUUUAGUAAAGCCAUCUCGAGAGUGAAGGUUAGCUGGUGGCACUGACAGUGGCUUUUUGGGAAGGAACACUGAGUGUGCCACAGUCACAACCUUGGCAGCAUUUUGUCCAGCCAAGCACGGGGACUGUGUGUGCAGAGCUGUGUUGGAUGACAUCAGGGGCAGCAGCAGGGCAGACAGGCUUGCAUGCUGGUGCUUGCAUGUCUGCUGGAGAAGGUGGAGGUGUACCUGUGCCACAUGGGGAAAUACUGGUACACAGUGAAACUCCCCUGAAAGCUCUAAUUAGAAGAUGAAAUGUCAUGCUAUAAAAAAAGGUAAUUUACUGGCAGAAGAAAAAUAUCAAUGAACUUAAACAAUUAACUUACCUUUCAUCUUUCUAGAUACUUUAACAGCAAGAGAUUUAUAAUUAAUCUAGAAAAAACUGGAGUACUCUUCUGGAGGAAGAGUCUCUUACUUAAAUUAGUUUAACCCUCACUUUAUUAUUGUUACUGGUCAAAUUAAUUGCUGACUUUGUCAGAGAUCACAAACCCUUCCCAAAACUGAUAAUAUUUUCUUAGGUGUCUUCAUUCAUCUUUCUUGUAAGGUAAAGAUGUAUUAAAAAAAAAAAAAAGGAAUUUAGGUGGUUGUUUGUUGAACUGAGGAAUCAAAACUGUAUUUUCAGCACGUCUUAGAGAUCCAUAGAAUCCAUAGAAUGUAUCUGAAAUUUUAUAUGUAUUUUAAGGUUUGCUCUUAUUCCACUUGAGUUUUUUCCUCUCUUAUUUCAGUCAUAGAUUCAAAAAUGUCAGAGGAGCCACAACUGAGCAUUUCUUCUGUUCCCACCUGUGCUUUGGGUUGUGAAAGAAUAACAUAAAUACACAGAGAUCUUGACUUGCUCUUGGAUGCAUCUGGAAGAUUUUAUUAGGCAGUCCACUGUGCCUGUGAUCUGUCUGAGAGCAGCUGAUGAUGAGCAUCGCCAAGAUGUUUCACCAGGCUGCUGAUAAUUUUGUGUCUUUCAGAAGACUUGAAAAACUGGAUUCAUGGAACAUCCACUCUCAUAAACCACAGCCUGGCCAUGAGGACAUCAGGGCAGCCACAGCUGUACUAAGUAUCUUCACCAGCAAUCUUUCACCCUCUGACAAAUCUUUUCUUCUUGAAGACCAGAAAGAUUGUUAUUGAGCCUUCCACAAAGCUGAAAUAAUGCUGUGUGUUAAAAAAAUGUUAACAAUUUGAAGAAGUUAUAAAAAUUUAUAAGUUGACUGAAUACUUUGGAAAUUUCUGCAUAUUUUAAUAUAAAUAGGUGCUUGCAGCAUGUGGAUCUGAGAGCAGUGAAAGCCCAAAGGAGUACUGCACACACUGAAGAGGUCACCAGGAGCUGUUGUGCGGGCUCUUGGUCCACCCAGCAUGGGCUGCAAAAAGGCUGCACAGCAUUCAGGGCUCAAACUUCUAAGUGUUAACUGACUUUGUCUUUCACGCUUUGCAAAAUCCGGGAUUUCACUGAAGGAGAGCAUUCCAAGCUGCUUUUGAGAAACCUGAUGUUUGCAUCGGGUGACAGAGGAUACUAUAAACUGACUUCUUGAAAAGGAUCCUUGAGGACCCAGCGCUGUCACUGUGUUAGAGUGGGAUAGGCACAGGUGGGACUGGUUGGCUCUGGGGCAGCGAGUGCCUGGGCCAGCACAGGAGCUGUUCAGGCGGUGCAAGGUGCCACAUUAGC